rnacentral:misc_RNA from 1 species
CUUGUCAGUGCUCAUUGAUUUUGCAUCUACGUUCAUGAGCAGUGAAGGCGCCUAUUAUGAAGAUGGCGGAUAAAAAAUGCUAUUCCAAUUUAGGGUGAAAUGAAUGAUCCUAGUUUUGAGGAUAUCACUGGAAUUAAGUUGCGAAAACAGGCGUCAAGAGUUGUAUAUGGUUUAAUUAUUUACUCAUUUUCAUUCACAAUAUGCGCUGUGGAAAUGCUGCUUGGGAAGUUUCUAUGGAUUUGUGAUUUGAAGCGUGAGUUUGCAGUUUGUC